ACAACAACCAUGAUGUCAAAUAAAUUUGACCAUUAUGUCAGAAGGUCAAAUAUUUGACCAUUAGACAAAGAGUGUACUACAGGCUUAACUAUAGGGCUUUAGUUUCAUGGCCGUGUUGUCAUAAAACAAACACUGAGAAUCAUUUUUGGAAUAAUAAUUAAUUUUUUUAUUCGGUUUAGUAUGAUUUAACAUAAAUAACCCUCAAGUCUCUUAGCAUAGACUAAAGAAACAUAGAUAUCCAAGUUGGGCUUCGCUGCAUUUAAUCUCAAGGCAACACUAUUGUCCCUUUCUCUGAAACUUGUUCGCCGCACCAAAAAAGGCGACUUUGAAAUCAAACACCGCAUCAGAGAAUAGACACUACACAUCAGAGUUGUCAGAUUUUUUUUUCACCGAUAUUGCAUUUUACAGAGCAACAUGAAAUAUAUUCAUUUUGUACUGGCAACCCUUGCUUUGAAGCGGCGAUACCAAAACAAACAUUUGUCAACAACGACAUCGACAGCAAAAAAUUGUUUCGAUCUCGAUCUCAGUGGAAUUUACGUAUUGCAAAUUUACUGAAACUGCAGGUAGAGUAAUGGUUUCUCAUAGAUUAUCAGAUUGUCGUUGUGUUUGUUUACUGUAGUAAUGAAUCUGCAAGUUAAUAAUUGUAAGCAGCAAGAAGAUCUAGAAGAGACCCCUGAAGCACACAUCGAUGUAGAAUAUUUAAUCGAAGAAGACCCACCGAAUAAUUAUGACCAAGAAGAGGAUCCUUUUGAUGUAAGUGAAAUUCCGAACAGGCUCCAGAUUACCCGAAAGCGUCGAAUCUGAGCAAAUAUAUUGAGGGAUUCAAUACCGAUGAUUCUACAUGGGAUACAGCUGGUUUACCCGAAGAAAGCGAUGAAGAAGCAGAGGCAAAACGGUUUUGUUUCCAGGCCAAUUAUUUUGUGAAAAAGUACACCAGGCAGAAGAACGGCGUGUGCAUAAACGAGAAAACAAACGUUCCAGAGCAGGUAUCUGGCAACAGUCUGGCGGAGGUGCUCGAAUGUAUAUGGAAGGUUGUCGAACCACAUUUAUGUCUAUAUAUACAGUCUGAAAAGAAAACAAAACCUAAAUUAAUCCACCUAGCAGUCAGACCCAGCCUUUCUCAUUCUAACUUUUAUUUGUAAGAAUAGAUUUACAUGAACGCUUCAAUCCAAUAAAUGUAUAUUCACUCUUAA